rnacentral:lncRNA from 1 species
AUGCUUUCAUUUAAAAUGCUGCAUUAUCAAGUGCUCCAGUCUCACCCACUCAGAAAAAAUGAAACCAUCAAUGCCAGGGACAGCAUACUGACCAGGCAGGAGGCAGAGGCUCGGCCUUUGACAUACUUUCUCCCUCUGCUCACCCUGCUGGCCUGGCCACUGUUCUCUGUGCCAGCAGACUGGAGGAAAAUUUUCCAAGCGGGAAGAGAGAUCGAUGUUCUGCAGGGGAAGUUCAAGCAUCUCCUUCCCUUCCCUGCUGUAAGACUGGCAGAUCCCCUUUCCUGGGGGCUUUCGGUAGAGGUGGGACAAUUAGGAGGACCUGAGCCUAAUCCCUUGGCCACAACAGGUGCCAGACAGGUCCCGUGGGUUCAGGGAGGCUGAGGCAGGCAGGCUCCCACAAGAGGGCAGUCGCUGUGUGGGGCAGACCCCUGGCAACUCAAGCUCUGAAGUUGUCUUUCGAGCCUAUGUGUGCCAGCCUUACCCUGCUCCUGGGCUCCUCGCAGGCAGGGGCUGAGCCUUUUCAAUUUGAUUCUCUCUGUAUCUAGCCUAGUGCUUGGAACCUAAUAAGCAGGAAAUAAAUAUUUGAUGAAUGAAUGAAAGUGUCUGUCUGUGAGCACGUGUCUGUGUGUUUCCAGGUUAUUCCAAAGGCCUCCCUGUGGGCUGGCUUCUUUCA